UUUUCCCCUCUCUCUUUCUACCAAUCUUUCUCUAAGAAAGCCAAUCUUUCUCUGAGAGCUGAGAUGGUUGGGGGAGAUGAGAUGGCCCCUGUCAAGCUGCUCGUCGGCGUGCUCUGCCUCGUCUUCUUGCUGUUCUCGGCUGCUGUUCCGGUGCUCGGGGUGAAUGAGGAGGAGCAAGAGGCGAUGGAGGGGAGCAGUGUGAGCUUGGCGGUGGACCCGAGCUUCCAGUUCCAGAACUCGAGGCUGAGAGACGCCUACAUUGCGCUGCAGACAUGGAAGCGCACCGCCAUCUUCUCCGACCCGCAGAACCUGACGGGCAACUGGGUCGGCCCCGAGGUGUGUUCCUACUUCGGCGUCUACUGUGCCGCUUCUCCGGACGACCCCUACCUCACCGUCGUUGCUGGCAUCGACCUGAACCAUGCCGACCUCGCCGGGUACCUCCCGCGGGAGCUCGGCCUCCUCACCGACCUCGCCCUCUUCCACCUCAACUCCAACCGCUUCUGCGGCACUGUGCCCCCCACCUUCCGCCGCCUCCGCCUGCUCUACGAGUUGGACCUCAGCAACAACCGCUUCGUCGGCAAGUUCCCGGAGGUGGUGCUCCACCUGCCGGCCCUCCGCUACCUCGACCUCCGCUUCAACGACUUCGAGGGGCCCAUCCCGCCGGCGCUCUUCGAGCGGCCCCUCGAUGCCAUCUUCCUCAACUCCAACCGCCUCCGCGCCGGCAUCCCCGCCACCCUCGGCCACUCUCCGGUGUCCGUCCUCGUGCUCGCCAACAACGACCUCGGCGGGUGCAUCCCCUCCUCCAUUGGUGGCAUGGCCAACACGCUCAACGAGAUCAUCCUCCUCAACGACAACCUCACCGGCUGCAUCCCGACCGAGGUCGGGCUGCUCCGCCGCGUCACCGUUUUCGACGUCAGCUUCAACCGCCUUCAGGGCCCGCUGCCGGAGUCCAUCGCCGGCAUGGUGAGCGUCGAGCAGCUCGACGUUGCGCACAACCGCCUUACGGGGCGCAUCCCCCCGGGCGUAUGCGACCUCCCCAGGCUCCAGAACUUCACCUACUCAUACAACUUCUUCACCGGCCAGCCGCCGUCCUGCGGCCGCGGCGGAAGGUCGGCGGUGUUCGACGGCAAGGCGAACUGUAUCCCCGGCCAGCCGGACCAGCGGUCCCCCAAGCAGUGCUCCUCCGCGGUGGCCCAACCCUUCGAUUGCCGCAAGUCCAAGUGCUGGAGUGGCGGCGUGCCAUCCCCUUACCUCAAGCCACCGUCCCCGCGGCCGACUGCUCCUAGGAGAUGGCCUGUAUACAGUCCGCCGUCUCCGGUGGGGAACAAGCCCGGAAGGCACUACAAGCCAGCACCUCGUACGCCGCCGCCGCCGCCGCAGUACGAAUCAUCGCCUUCGACGAGAUCUCACCCACCGCCGCCGUCAUACUCGCCGAAGCAAUCGCCGCCGCCGUCCUCUUCGGGCUACCAUGCUUCCUCACCGCCACCUGCCCCUCCUGCGCACGACUAUGAACCAGCAAAACCUCCCCACAGCCCAUUGCCACCCACAUUGGUCUCACCUCCUCCAACGCAUCACUAUCAAACGCCUACUCCUCCUGCUCCUGUUCAGCCUCCGACAUAUACCAACCCUCCGUAUCAUACUUCACCACCAUCGCCGUUGUCACCUACAGAGUCGCCUCCGCCGCCGCCCCUCAAGUCACCAUCGCCACUGCCGACACCAGUGCCUGCCUCCCCGCCGCCGUCGCAAAAGCCAUGGCAAGCUCCACCACCACCGGUACACUCCUCACCGCAGCCAUCACCCAAGUAUG
rnacentral:lncRNA from 1 species